AACGAACGCUGGCGGCGUGCCUAACACAUGCAAGUCGAACGAGAAAGGGGCUUCGGCUCCGAGUAAAGUGGCGCACGGGUGAGUAACAUGUGGGUAACCUGCCUCUAAGAUUGGGAUAACUCGUCGAAAGAUGAGCUAAUACCGAAUAAGACCACAGUUCCCGCGGGAACAGGGGUCAAAGGUAGCCUCUACUUGUAAUCUAUCACGUAGAGAUGGGCCUGCGCACCAUUAGCUAGUUGGUAGGGUAACGGCCUACCAAGGCCAAGAUGGUUAGCUGGUCUGAGAGGAUGAUCAGCCACACUGGCACUGAGACACGGUCCAGACUCCUACGGGAGGCAGCCGUGGGGAAUAUUGCGCAAUGGGCGAAAGCUUGACGCAGCAACGCCGCGUGAGUGAUGAAGGCCUUCGGGUCGUAAAGCUCUGUCGGGAGGAACGAAUGCUCCUGAGGUUAACAGCCUCGGGAGGUGACGGUACCUUCAAAGGAAGCACCGGCUAACUCUGUG
rnacentral:rRNA from 1 species